rnacentral:rRNA from 1 species
GGCUCAGAUUGAACGCUGGCGGCAGGCCUAACACAUGCAAGUCGAGCGGUAGAGAGGUGCUUGCAUCUCUUGAGAGCGGCGGACGGGUGAGUAAUGCCUAGGAAUCUGCCUAGUGGUGGGGGAUAACGUUCGGAAACGGACGCUAAUACCGCAUACGUCCUACGGGAGAAAGCGGGGGAUCUUCGGACCUCGCGCCAUUAGAUGAGCCUAGGUCGGAUUAGCUAGUUGGUGAGGUAAUGGCUCACCAAGGCGACGAUCCGUAACUGGUCUGANAGGAUGAUCAGUCACACUGGAACUGAGACACGGUCCAGACUCCUACGGGAGGCAGCAGUGGGGAAUAUUGGACAAUGGGCGAAAGCCUGAUCCAGCCAUGCCGCGUGUGUGAAGAAGGUCUUCGGAUUGUAAAGCACUUUAAGUUGGGAGGAAGGGUAGUAACCUAAUACGUUGCUACUUUGACGUUACCGACAGAAUAAGCACCGGCUAACUUCGUG